rnacentral:rRNA from 1 species
ACUCCUACGGGAGGCAGCAGUGGGGAAUUUUGGACAAUGGGCGAAAGCCUGAUCCAGCAAUGCCGCGUGAGUGAAGAAGGCCUUCGGGUUGUAAAGCUCUUUUGUCAGGGAAGAAACGGUGAAAGCUAAUAUCUUUUGCUAAUGACGGUACCUGAAGAAUAAGCACCGGCUAACUACGUGCCAGCAGCCGCGGUAAUACGUAGGGUGCAAGCGUUAAUCGGAAUUACUGGGCGUAAAGCGUGCGCAGGCGGUUUUGUAAGUCUGAUGUGAAAUCCCCGGGCUCAACCUGGGAAUUGCAUUGGAGACUGCAAGGCUAGAAUCUGGCAGAGGGGGGUAGAAUUCCACGUGUAGCAGUGAAAUGCGUAGAUAUGUGGAGGAACACCGAUGGCGAAGGCAGCCCCCUGGGUCAAGAUUGACGCUCAUGCACGAAAGCGUGGGGAGCAAACAGGAUUAGAAACCCCGGUAGUCCCA